GAUGAACGCUGGCGGCGUGCCUAAUACAUGCAAGUCGAGCGAAUGGAUUAAGAGCUUGCUCUUAUGAAGUUAGCGGCGGACGGGUGAGUAACACGUGGGUAACCUGCCCAUAAGACUGGGAUAACUCCGGGAAACAGGGGCUAAUACCGGAUAACAUUUUGAACCGCAUGGUUCGAAAUUGAAAGGCGGCUUCGGCUGUCACUUAUGGAUGGACCCGCAUCGCAUACGCUAGUUGGUGAGGUAACGGCUCACCAAGGCAACGAUGCGUAGCCGACCUGAGAGGGUGAUCGGCCACACUGGGACUGAGACACGGCCCAGACUACUACGGGAGGCAGCAGUAGGGAAUCUUCCGCAAUGGACGAAAGUCUGACGGAGCAACGCCGCGUGAGUGAUGAAGGCUUUCGGGUCGUAAAACUCUGUUGUUAGGGAAGAACAAGUGCUAGUUGAAUAAGCUGGCACCUUGACGGUACCUAACCAGAAAGCCACGGCUAACUACGUGCCAGCAGCCGCAGUAA
rnacentral:rRNA from 1 species